ensembl:lncRNA
GUUGAGCCUCGCACUAAACCUGGGAUCCUGUCUUAGAUUAUCCGUUUUUAAGGCCCUCAGAUCUUAAAAUCCUGGAAGUUUCCUAUUCUUCAGCUUAGUUGCACACACCUGGCCAUAGUUAAUUGGUUCAACAAUGGAUGUUCUACCAAAUCGUUCAACAAGAAACAUUUCCCCCAAAUGUUUUAAUAAAAACCAAGUGAAAGUCAUUCUUCUGUUUGUAGCUGUAAUUGUUUAAACAUGGGAAUUGUUGGCCAUAUCUCCCUCCAUCUUGAUUAUAGAAAAGGUAGAACUUAGACGUCGGGGACAUAGAGGAGAAUUAAGCAGGUGUGCAAAUAUUAGCAUAAAUGAUAUAAGAAAUAUGAGUCCUUGCUUCACAUUGUUCCCGGGACACAGAUACUGAAUUCAGGCUCUUGCAACUUCAGUGAGUACUGUGAGACAACUUAUUAUUUAUGCAAUAUCCCCACUAUCUUGAUUAGGUGGGUUUGUUUUGUAUUUCUGCAGUUUAAGAUUAGAAAUCUAACUAUCAUAUCUCUCCCGUGACUAGCCUCAGUGAAGAUGGGCAUACAAUUAGAAGCUCACAUGAACAGAAUAUACAAAAUAAUUUGUGAAACUCUUGUCAUCUGAACUCUGAAGUGUCAGUGUCAUCCCACUGUCUUCUGCACAGUUAGGUGGCACCAAUGACAACAAGAAUGACAUUUUCAUUGAGACCUUAAUCACAGAGUAGUAACAGGGAAGUGCUAUGAGGAGGCUGGAGCAGAAAUUGUGAGCUGGAUAGUUUUCGAGCAUAUGCGAUUUAGGCUGCCUGCCUAAUCCCUUCUUGUACUGUUUGUCUGCUGCAUCAACUACUCUUGAAGCGUUGAAAAGUCUCCAAUAGAAUCAAGGUCCAUCAGCACACUCCUAUAAACUUCUUGAACGACUUUUGCAGCAAUUACAUCACUUUCAGUAAGUAGUGUUCUUCAUUAUGUUACAUUAUCCUGUAUAUGCAGAUUAUAUUUUCCUUUUGGCAUGCUAUUUUGAUAAAUUUUUAAUACUCAUGUAGAUGGGAUUUUUUCAUUGCUAUUAAUGUCCUUUUGUUGGAUUAUCAUGCAAUAUAAAAGGCUGUAUUAUCCUAUGUUUUAUAGAAUGUGUUAACGAUUGCUCUGAGGAUGGGACAUCCUUAGGAUCUCCAAACCCAGGCUACACAAUCCAGUGUCUUCAGGCUGUUGGGUUUUGGUUACCAUUGUUGUCAAGCUACUUGUUUUUAAUUUGAGUUGUUUUUUGUGUAUAAGAUAGGGUCCAAUUUCAUUCUUUUGCAUAUGGGUAUCUCGUUUUCUCAGCACUAUUUAUUGAAGAGACUUUCCUCAUUCUAUAUUCUUGGUGCCUUUGUUGAAAAUUGAUUAACCAAAAAUGAGUGGGUUUAAUUCUGGGCUCUGUCUUCUGUUCCAUUGAUUUCUGUAUCUGUUUGCAUACCAAUACCAUACCAUUUUGCUUACUAUAGCAUUGUAAUAUAGUUUGAAAUAAGGAAGUGUGGUGCCUCCAACUGUGCUCUUCUUAUUCGAGAUUAUUUGGCUAUAAUGGUGUUUAUGUUAUUUAGUGAGUAAUUAAGCUCAGUGUAGUUGGAUGUUAAUUAAUGCACAGUUUCUUUUAAAAUAUUUUAGCAAAUCACAACUUUCAAAAUAACCAGAAUUAUGUAAAUGUAUUGUUGCUGGUAUUGGUGCUUUUUUCUUCUGUUUACACUCUGUUUACAAAACCAUCAAUACAACAUCAGACAUCAAUUUGAAUCAGGCAAUCAGGAGUGGACUGAGUCAUGCUAUAAAGAUUCUUUAAAUGGACAGUGUGUCCCUGACAAAGAAGAUGAAGAGAAUGGAAUCAUGGCCUAUACUUUUUUUUUUUUUGAGGAAGAUUUGCCUUGAGCUAGCAUCCGCUGCCAAUCUUCCUCUAUUUUAUACGUGGGACGUCUGCCGCAUCAUGGCUUGACAGGCAGUGCGUAGGUCUGCACCUGGGGUCCAAACCAGCGAACUCGAGGCUGCCAAAGCGGAAGGUGCGAACUUAACUGCUGUGCCCCUGGGCUGGCCCCCACAGCUUGUACUUUUGAGAAGAGAAAGUGAAAUUGAGUAAGAGAUUGAUCACAAGAUGUUAGUGAGAUGUGUACUGGAAACAGCCUUUUGGACAGAGUCUGCUCUCAGCAAGUCAAAUUUUAGUAUUAAGGUUCUCAGUAGAGGUGUCUUUAAAAUCCUAUGUGUGUUUUUUCACAUCAAAUAUGCUGUGUUCAUCUGAACAGAUCAGUAGUAAAUAGCUACUUCAUAUGAGUUUCAUAUGAAGUUACACCCUCUUACCCUCAGGGGAAAAAAUGUAAUAUAUCUGCAUUUUUAAAGGGAAAAUCAAAAUUAAAAAUAGGAAAACAGUGUACUUUACAACUUUGUUUAUGUUUUGAAAAAAAAGUUCUGGCAAUGGCCCAUUUAAAAAUAUAUCCUGUUUCUUGUCACUUUGCUUCUGCUCUCUGUUGACAUCAUCUUAUGAGCCCAAGUUAAUUGUCUCUAUUGGGCAUUAGUGUUCGAAGAUAAAGCUAUGUCAUUACAACCAUAUGUAAAUAUCUUUACUAUUUGCUCUUUAUAUGUGCUGUUUGUUCCUUUUGACUAACUUUCACCAAAUUUAGCAUUUGAGAUGAUUCUGACACAUAGUCCUCUUCUGUAAUGCAUGAUUUAGGUGAGAUAAUUUUAAGAUUUUUAAAAUGAAACCUCAAC